AUGAGAAACACGGUUUGAACUUCUGCUUGUUCUCCUGAGGGACACGUCAAAGACGUCUGCGCUCUGUGAUCUGUGUAUUGGUUUUAAGUACCUGUAGAAGGUCCAACUUGACACACAACUUGAAUCCAACCACACUGAACACUGACUCCAGGGACAGACGAGCCUGAAGGACACAGCUGUGAUGACCAUGUUCUGUCUCUUAUGGCAAAGCAGAAAUAUUAAACACUGGGUUGACCAGCAUAAAGCUGCAGAUCUCCACCAUGUUGCAACUGAGGACAUCAGGAGCUGC